rnacentral:rRNA from 1 species
UACGUAGGGUGCGAGCGUUAAUCGGAAUUACUGGGCGUAAAGGGUGCGCAGGCGGCCGUGUGUGUCAGGUGUGAAAGCCCGGAGCUUAACUCCGGAAUUGCGCCUGAAACUACAUGGCUAGAGCAUUGGAGAGGGUAGCGGAAUUCACGGUGUAGCAGUGAAAUGCGUAGAUAUCGUGAGGAACACCAGAGGCGAAGGCAGCUACCUGGACAAUUGCUGACGCUCAGGCACGAAAGCGUGGGGAGCAAAAGGG